UAUGGAGGAUGCAAGCGUUAUCCGGAUUUAUUGGGUUUAAAGGGUGCGCAGGUUAUUUGAUAAGUCAGUGGUGAAAGUCUGUCGCUUAACGGUAGGAUUGCCAUUGAUACUGUUAUACUUGAAUAUGGAUGAGGUAGGCGGAAUGUGUAGUGUAGCGGUGAAAUGCAUAGAUAUUACACAGAACACCGAUUGCGAAGGCAGCUUACUAAUCCAUCAUUGACGCUGAGGCACGAAAGCGUGGGGAUCGAA
rnacentral:rRNA from 1 species